rnacentral:rRNA from 1 species
CUCCAGACAGUGGAUCACUUGGCUUGUAGGUCGAUGAAGAACGCAGCCAACUGUGUGAAGCAUGGCGAAUUGCAGGGCUUCAUGAAACCAUUAUUUGUUGAAUGCAUAUUGCAGCCCUGGCUUUCAGGUCAGGGCUACAUCCACCUGAGGGUUGA